GAUGAACGCUGGCGGCGUGCCUAAUACAUGCAAGUCGAGCGAACAGACGAGGAGCUUGCUCCUUUGACGUUAGCGGCGGACGGGUGAGUAACACGUGGGUAACCUACCUAUAAGACUGGGAUAACUUCGGGAAACCGGAGCUAAUACCGGAUAAUAUUUCGAACCGCAUGGUUCGAUAGUGAAAGAUGGCUUUGCUAUCACUUAUAGAUGGACCUGCGCCGUAUUAGCUAGUUGGUAAGGUAACGGCUUACCAAGGCAACGAUACGUAGCCGACCUGAGAGGGUGAUCGGCCACACUGGAACUGAGACACGGUCCAGACUCCUACGGGAGGCAGCAGUAGGGAAUCUUCCGCAAUGGGCGAAAGCCUGACGGAGCAACGCCGCGUGAGUGAUGAAGGUCUUCGGAUCGUAAAACUCUGUUAUUAGGGAAGAACAAACGUGUAAGUAACUGUGCACGUCUUGACGGUACCAAAUCAGAAAGCCACGGCUAACUACGUGCCAGCAGCCGCGGUAAUACGUAGGUGGCAAGCGUUAUCCGGAAUUAUUGGGCGUAAAGCGCGCGUAGGCGGUUUUUUAAGUCUGAUGUGAAAGCCCACGGCUCAACCGUGGAGGGUCAUUGGAAACUGGAAAACUUGAGUGCAGAAGAGGAAAGUGGAAUUCCAUGUGUAGCGGUGAAAUGCGCAGAGAUAUGGAGGAACACCAGUGGCGAAGGCGACUUUCUGGUCUGUAACUGACGCUGAUGUGCGAAAGCGUGGGGAUCAAACAGGAUUAGACACCCUGGUAGUCCACGCCGUAAACGAUGAGUGCUAAGUAUUAGGGGGUUUCCGCCCCUUAGUGCUGCAGCUAACGCAUUAAGCACUCCGCCUGGGGAGUACGACCGCAAGGUUGAAACUCAAAGGAAUUGACGGGGACCCGCACAAGCGGUGGAGCAUGUGGUUUAAUUCGAAGCAACGCGAAGAACCUUACCAAAUCUUGACAUCCUUUGACCCUUCUAGAGAUAGAAGUUUCCCCUUCGGGGGACAAAGUGACAGGUGGUGCAUGGUUGUCGUCAGCUCGUGUCGUGAGAUGUUGGGUUAAGUCCCGCAACGAGCGCAACCCUUAAGCUUAGUUGCCAUCAUUAAGUUGGGCACUCUAAGUUGACUGCCGGUGACAAACCGGAGGAAGGUGGGGAUGACGUCAAAUCAUCAUGCCCCUUAUGAUUUGGGCUACACACGUGCUACAAUGGACAAUACAAAGGGCAGCGAAACCGCGAGGUCAAGCAAAUCCCAUAAAGUUGUUCUCAGUUCGGAUUGUAGUCUGCAACUCGACUACAUGAAGCUGGAAUCGCUAGUAAUCGUAGAUCAGCAUGCUACGGUGAAUACGUUCCCGGGUCU
rnacentral:rRNA from 1 species